GACGAACGCUGGCGGCGUGCUUAACACAUGCAAGUCGAACGGUGAACCAGAGCUUGCUCUGGGGAUCAGUGGCGAACGGGUGAGUAACACGUGGGCAACCUGCCCCAGACUCUGGGAUAACCUCGGGAAACCGAUGCUAAUACCGGAUACGACCACUUCGGACAUCCGACGGUGGUGGAAAGUUUUUCGGUCUGGGAUGGGCCCGCGGCCUAUCAGCUAGUUGGUGGGGUAAUGGCCUACCAAGGCGACGACGGGUAGCCGGCCUGAGAGGGCGACCGGCCACACUGGAACUGAGACACGGUCCAGACUCCUACGGGAGGCAGCAGUGGGGAAUAUUGCACAAUGGGCGAAAGCCUGAUGCAGCGACGCCGCGUGAGGGACGACGGCCUUCGGGUUGUAAACCUCUUUCAGCAGGGACGAAGCGAAAGUAGACUGUACCUGCAGAAGAAGCACCGGCUAACUACGUG
rnacentral:rRNA from 1 species